ACCACGAGGGGACCACCUGGGUGACGUCAGUGGGCGCGGCCAGGUGGGGCCGGGACCCGCCCCUGGGCAGGGCCGGGGGCGCGGGGAGACCCCCGGGCCGUGCGGGGACCCCCGGGCCGUGCGGGACCCCCCGAGGCAGGAGCGCGGGGGCGGCUGGAAGCGGCGUUCGGGAAGGGCUCGGGGCUGCUGGCGCUGCGUAAACCCGGUCCCCGCCGGACCGGUCCAGCCGGGUGCUGCCGCUGCGUCCCGGGCGAAGCCGCCGUCACCCAGUGCCCGAGUCAUCCAUUGGGUACGUCCCAGCCCACCUCAGGACCCCCCAGGUGUGGGGAGCAGGAGGAUUCUGCCCCGGUGAGGAUGAGGAGGGAGCAUCCUGCACCCUCGCUGCCUGUGUGGUUCCCUGGUACGUCUGGCAGCGAGCGCUGCCAGGCGGGGAUUCUCAGCUCCGAAGGGAGGUGAGAGACAGCGCUUCCACCGCCCCUGCAAGAAAAAGGGAAUUCAUGGCUGUGCGCUGAUCCGGAGCACAGCCAGAGAGCUCUCGGCACAAGGAAAUGGGCGCACUGCACGGCACGGCACGGCACGGCACGGCACGGCACGGCAGGGCGCAGAGUAGCUGAGGCGUCAGCCAGAAAUCUCAUUCGCGCUCCCCUCUUGGUCAAGGUCGAGGGUGUCAGGGAAGCGGCGCGGUGUAACCCAGCUUCCUGCAGCCUUGCUCCUGCAUCCCCUGCAUCCCCUGCAUGCCACCUCCCUGUCCCCAAACAGUCAUUCUGCCUCCCAUCUCUGCACCCCUGGCACUGCCCCGCAGCUCGACUCUCCGCAUCCUGGGGACAGGACAGUGACCAUGGGGGACAGGACGGUGGCCAUGCAGGUCACAGCCACUGCCGGGUCACAUCGCCGCUCUCAGAGCUGCUGCUCCCGCCUGGCACUCCCAGGAGUGAUGGAUGCACAUCCAGCGGCUGCAGCAGGGCCUCUCCUACCCUGAGCUCUGGAUCCCACGGUGGCAGCACAUGGAAGGUGAAGGCAGCCUUGAAAAGACCAGUCUGGAUUUUAUUAAAAGUUCAGCACCAGUAAAUAUAUAAAAAGAGCAACUGUGCAA